AUCCUGAAAAGUGUAAAAACCUGCCUGGGUACACAAGUGCCUGAAAAGGUGUGUAAAAACCUGCCUGGGUACACAAGUGCCUGAAAAGGUGUGUAAAAACCUGCCUGGGUACACAAGUGCCUGAAAAGGUGUGUAAAAACCUGCCUGGGUACACAAGUGCCUGAAAAGGUGUGUAAAAACCUGCCUGGGUACACAAGUGCCUGAAAAGGUGUGUAAAAACCUGCCUGGGUACACCAGUGCCUGAAAAGGUGUGUAAAAACCUGCCUGGGUACACGAGUGCCUGAAAAGGUGUGUAAAAACCUGCCUGGGUACACCAGUGCCUGAAAAGGUGUGUAAAAACCUGCCUGGGUACACAAGUGCCUGAAAAGGUGUGUAAAAACCUGCCUGGGUACACGAGUGCAGAGUAACAGCCACACCCUGCAACACUCAGGAUGCAAGUAACUGCUGCACCAAUAAAUGCUCCCGACAACA